CCCACUGCUAUCGGAGUCGGAUUAAGUCAUGCAAGUUAAGGCGAUUCGUUCGCCUGGCGAACUGCUCCGUAGCACGUAGAUAAUCUACCCUUGGGUACGGCAUAAUCCCGGGAAACUGGGCAUAAUUCCGUAUAGGUGUGCUGUUCUGGAGUGGCAUCACACCCAAAGCCUCGGCGCCCAAAGAUGAGUCUGCGUCCGAUUAUGCUUGUUGGCGGUGUCACGGACCACCAAGGCUAUGAUCGGUACGGGCCGUGAGAGCGGUAGCCCGGAGAUGGCCACUGAGACAACGGGCCAGGCCCUAUGGGGUGCAGCAGGCGCGAAAACUGGCCAAUGCGCGAAAGCGUGAGCCGGCGACUCCGAGUGAUGGCCUACCGGCCAUUCUUUUGUCAAGCGUUCAAAACUUGGCGAAUAACGAGAGGGCAAGACUGGUGCCAGCCGCCGCGGUAAAACCAGCUCUUGGAGUGGUGGGCAUGUUUAUUUGGCUUAAAGAGUGCGUAGCAGGACAGCGUAAGUCCUCAGUGAAAUGCCAAGUCUCAAGCUUGGCGCGUGCUGGGGAUACUGUGCGUCUUGGGAACAGGAGAGGUCCAGGGUACUCACUGGGUAGGGGUGAAAUCCGAUAAUCCAGUGAGGACCACCGGUGGCGAAGGCGCUGGACUGGAAUGUGUCCGACUGUGAGGCUCGAAAGCUAGGGUAGCGAGCCGGAUUAGAUACCCGGGUAGUCCUAGCCGUAAACGAUGCGCGCUAAGUGUUGGGUGAUGCUAGACGUCAUCCGGUGCCGAAGGGAAACCGUUAAGCGCGCCGCCUGGGAAGUACGUUCGCAAGGAUGAAACUUAAAGGAAUUGGCGGGGGCCUACUACAAGAAGUGGAGCCUGCGGUUC
rnacentral:rRNA from 1 species